GGAAGAGAUAAGUGCUGAAAGCAUCUAAGCACGAAACUUGCCCCGAGAUGAGUUCUCCCUGAGACUUUAAGUCUCCUGAAGGAACGUUGAAGACGACGACGUUGAUAGGCCGGGUGUGUAAGCGCAGCGAUGCGUUGAGCUAACCGGUACUAAUGAACCGUGAGGCUUAACCUU
rnacentral:rRNA from 3 species